AACGAACGCUGGCGGCAUGCCUAACACAUGCAAGUCGAACGAGACCUUCGGGUCUAGUGGCGCACGGGUGCGUAACGCGUGGGAACCUGCCCUUAGGUUCGGAAUAACUCCCCGAAAGGGGUGCUAAUACCGGAUAAUGUCUUCGGACCAAAGAUUUAUCGCCUUUGGAUGGGCCCGCGUUGGAUUAGCUAGUUGGUAGGGUAAAAGCCUACCAAGGCGACGAUCCAUAGCUGGUCUGAGAGGAUGAUCAGCCACACUGGGACUGAGACACGGCCCAGACUCCUGCGGGAGGCAGCAGUGGGGAAUAUUGGAGAAUGGGCGAAAGCUUGAACCACCAUUGCCGCGUGAGUGAUGAAGGCCUUAGGGUUGUAAAGCUCUGGUACCCGGGCUGAUAAGGACAGAACCGGGAGAAUAAGCUCGGGCGAACUCCGUG
rnacentral:rRNA from 1 species